CUAGUAUAGCAUCUAUACGGUGAACUGCGAAUGGCUCAUUAAAUCAGUUAUCGUUUAUUUGAUAGUACCUUACUACUUGGAUAACCGUGGUAAUUCUAGAGCUAAUACAUGCUAAAAACCCCGACUUCGGAAGGGGUGUAUUUAUUAGAUAAAAAACCAAUGCCCUUCGGGGCUCCUUGGUGAUUCAUAAUAACUUAACGAAUCGCAUGGCCUUGUGCCGGCGAUGGUUCAUUCAAAUUUCUGCCCUAUCAACUUUCGAUGGUAGGAUAGUGGCCUACCAUGGUUUCAACGGGUAACGGGGAAUUAGGGUUCUAUUCCGGAGAGGGAGCCUGAGAAACGGCUACCACAUCCAAGGAAGGCAGCAGGCGCGCAAAUUACCCAAUCCCGACACGGGGAGGUAGUGACAAUAAAUACUGAUACAGGGCUCUUUUGGGUCUUGUAAUUGGAAUGAGUACAAUUUAAAUCCCUUAACGAGGAACAAUUGGAGGGCAAGUCUGGUGCCAGCAGCCGCGGUAAUUCCAGCUCCAAUAGCGUAUAUUAAAGUUGUUGCAGUUAAAAAGCUCGUAGUUGAACCUUGGGCCUGGCUGGCCGGUCCGCCUCACCGCGUGCACUGGUCCGGCCGGGCCUUUCCUUCUGGGGAGCCGCAUGCCCUUCACUGGGUGUGUCGGGGAACCAGGACUUUUACUUUGAAAAAAUUAGAGUGUUCAAAGCAGGCCUAUGCUCGAAUACAUUAGCAUGGAAUAAUAGAAUAGGACGUGUGGUUCUAUUUUGUUGGUUUCUAGGACCGCCGUAAUGAUUAAUAGGGAUAGUCGGGGGCAUCAGUAUUCAAUUGUCAGAGGUGAAAUUCUUGGAUUUAUUGAAGACUAACUACUGCGAAAGCAUUUGCCAAGGAUGUUUUCAUUAAUCAGUGAACGAAAGUUAGGGAUCGAAGACGAUCAGAUACCGUCGUAGUCUUAACC
rnacentral:rRNA from 1 species